UGAUGGAGAGAAGAAGAACACCCGGUGCUACGAAAUUACCGCUGAACACAGAAGUUGCCGAUUAAAAAUGCCUUCUUGUGCUGCUUUCAACUGCACUAACCGAAGGCUCAUCGGCGGGGCCCGAUCAACUUUACAUUUCUUCCGGCAUCUUUCCUUUAGGCGACGAGGCCAGGCUGCAGCAGUGGGUCCUCAACGUGAGACGCUCACACUGGAAUCCAAAUCGCAACUCUCGACUGUGUUCGCAGCAUUUCAAGGAUGACUGUUUUUACAAGGACCGCAAGGGUAAUAUCAGGCUAUCCACGUCUGCUGUGCCCACACUUUUUUCCUAUCCAUGUGUACAGAAGAAGUCAUACACAAAGACAUUAAAGCGAGAAAGUGUUAAUAGUGAGCAUUGUUAUAGCCUCGAUCUGCCAACAACUCAGGACAUUCCAGUUAUUGAUCUUCAAGCCUUGGACAACUUUUCAGAUGUCGGAAACAUUGAGGAAAUUGAUAACACUGAGGCACAAGUUGUGUCACUGAAGUCUGUGGUAGUAGAUCAAACAUUUGGUGUUGUGGAUGACACUGAAGAUGCAAGUGAGUGUGUAUUAUCUGAAGACAAUGAAGACCAGCUACACUACAUCAUGUGUGUUACACAUGAUCACCACUAUUUCACAGAUAAACACCCCUGCCCUCUUGGUGAGCACGGCUACUUUGUUGCGGAAUCCCCAAGAACCCUGAAGCGACGUUUAGACGUAGUCAAUGACCAUCUGACUACAUGCAGGAAGCAGCUCAAACUUCAGAGAGCGAAGAACUCAAGGUUGAAACGAAAGGUCUCUGCUUUGUCUUUUAUCAUUCAAGAUCUGAAAGAGAGAUUGUUGAUGCCAAAAAAUAACUUGAUGAAAAAAGCGCACUCCCAGCUUGUACCUUGACUGGUGAGUGGGCUUUCAGGAAAAUCAGGUCUUUGGUGGUGGUGUUUGUUUUGUUUAAGAAGUUGUACCAAGCCACAAUGUAAAUACUUGCUUUUCUCUCUUUUCUCUUUGAUUUAACAACAUAAACAAAGUUUCCUGGAGGCC